rnacentral:rRNA from 1 species
UACGAAGGGGGCGAGCGUUGUUCGGAAUUACUGGGCGUAAAGGGCGCGUAGGCGGCUUUGUUUGUCAGGUGUGAAAGCCCCGGGCUUAACCUGGGAACUGCGUUUGAUACGGCAGGGCUAGAGUUUGGGAGAGGAGAGUGGAAUUCCCAGUGUAGAGGUGAAAUUCGUAGAUAUUGGGAAGAACACCGGUGGCGAAGGCGGCUCUCUGGACCAAUACUGACGCUGAGGCGCGAAAGCGUGGGGAGCAAACAGG